UUAGUGUCUCAGAUUCUAUUAGUCUCGAGUCUAGACUCUUAAGAGUUUUAUAAGCACCAGGCCAGGUAUCAUGUAAAUGGCGUCCUAAAUUUAAUUGGCGAACUAAAACUUGGAUACGUAAAACUAGGUUGUCGUUUUGAAAAGUGCCCGAAGUGCGAGCAUAAUCGCGCGUUUUUCAUGCAGAUCCAGACGAGAUCAGCGGACGAACCUAUGACGACGUUCUACAAAUGUUGUAACAUGCAGUGCGGACACCGUUGGCGGGAAUAGUCACGUGGCACGAG
rnacentral:misc_RNA from 1 species